UACGUAGGGGGGCAAGCGUUGUCCGGAUUUAUUGGGCGUAAAGCGCGUGUAGGCGGCCAGAUAGGUCUGCUGUGAAAACUCGAGGCUCAACCUCGAGCUGUCGGCGGAAACCAUCUAGCUAGAGUCCGGAAAGAGGAGAGUGGAAUUCCUGGUGUAGCGGUGAAAUGCGCAGAUAUCAGGAAGAACACCCGUGGCGAAGGCGGCUCUCUGGGACGUGACUGACGCUGAGACGCGAAAGCGUGGGGAGCGAACAGG
rnacentral:rRNA from 1 species